UACGUAGGGUGCAAGCGUUGUCCGGAAUUAUUGGGCGUAAAGAGCUCGUAGGCGGUCUGUCGCGUCGAAUGUGAAAACCCGGGGCUCAACCCCGGGCCUGCAUUCGAUACGGGCAGACUAGAGUCAGGUAGGGGAGAACGGAAUUCCUGGUGUAGCGGUGAAAUGCGCAGAUAUCAGGAGGAACACCGGUGGCGAAGGCGGGACUCUGGGCCGAUACUGACGCUGAGGAGCGAAAGCGUGGGGAGCGAACAGG
rnacentral:rRNA from 1 species